GGGCUUAUAGCUCAGUUGGUUAGAGCGCCACACUGAUAAUGUGGAGGUCCCUGGUUCGAAUCCAGGUGGGCCCA
rnacentral:tRNA from 1 species